rnacentral:rRNA from 1 species
AACGUAGGAGACGAGCGUUAUCCGGAUUUACUGGGCGUAAAGCGUGUGCAGGCGGUUUGGCAAGUUGGAUGUGAAAUCUCCCGGCUCAACUGGGAGGGGUCGUUCAAUACUACCGAACUUGAGGUCAUCAGAGGAAGGUGGAAUUCCGGGUGUAGUGGUGAAAUGCGUAGAUAUCCGGAGGAACACCAGUGGCGAAGGCGGCCUUCUGGGAUGAUCCUGACGCUCAGACACGAAAGCGUGGGGAGCAAACAGG